rnacentral:lncRNA from 1 species
CCCCAACUGCUCAAAGAAAAUCCAUCACUUGAUGUGGUAAAUUUCAACUAGGCACGACUAGCAUCCAAAUUAGAAGGGUUUCAACUUAAUUUCUUUGAUGAAUAAAACAAAAUUAGCUAAUAUAUAUAUAUAUAUAAAGUUAAUUUGUAACUUAAUUUUUGCUCGUAGAGCUCCAAAGGCUUCCUUUACUACAACAAUCUAUACAAUAUAUUAA